rnacentral:tRNA from 1 species
UCUAUUAUGGCAGAAUAGUGCAAUGAAUUUAAAAUUCAAAUAUAAAAUUAUAUUUUUUUUAGAA